GACGAACGCUGGCGGCGCGCUUAACACAUGCAAGUCGAACGGAAAGGCCUGCUUUCCCUUGUGGAUUGCGGGUACUCGCGUGGCGAACGGGUGAGUAACACGUGAGUGAUCUGCCCCCAACUUGGGUAUAAGCCUGGGAAACUGGGUCUAAUUCCCGAUAGGACUGCAGGGUGGUGCCUGUGGUGGAAAACGAUUUUCUAGUGGUUGGGGAUGAGCUCGCGGCCUAUCAGCUUGUUGGUGGGGUAAUGGCCUACCAAGGCGGCGACGGGUAGCCGGCCUGAGAGGGUGGACGGCCACAUUGGGACUGAGAUACGGCCCAGACUCCUACGGGAGGCAGCAGUGGGGAAUAUUGCACGAUGGGCGGAAGCCUGAUGCAGCGACGCCGAGUGGGGGAUGACGGCCUUCGGGUUGUAAACUCCUUUCGACCGCGAGGAAGCCACCUGGUUGGAAGGGUGGUGACGGUAGUGGUAGAAGAAGCACCGGCUAACUACGUG
rnacentral:rRNA from 1 species